CUGCCACAUAGGCCUCGUGUCCGAACCGUUGAAUUGCUCCUCUACUUUGUGCCUAUACUUGUGUUUCGCUAUAUUGAUUGAUCUGCAUAGGUCAUAAUUGUACUGCUUAACCAUACCAUGGCCCCCAGUCACCUCGCCGUGUUUAUUAGCAGCAUCUCUCUCCUUCGGUUUCCCUAAAAGGCUGCCAUCAAUCCGUGUUUUUUGAUUCGGGUUGAUGUAAAUACGAUGACAAGAGAGCGUACGGUGGCGGUUGUGACAGGGUUGGAGAAAGGAGGUUCACACCGCUGGCCCCUUGCGGUAUUCUUCAACCUUCUUGACCUGGCUGCAAUCAACGCAUAUGUUUUGUUCACGCAAUGCACCGCUAAGACAGUGUCAACGAGAGAUUUCAUCAUGGAUCUGGCAUUCGAGCUUCGCGAGAAGCACAUGAGGGCCAAUGCCGCACCGCCUCCUCCCCUCCCACCCAUCCAGGACACAGUCUGUGAAACGAAGACCCACAGCAAGGUGCGCAGAUCGACACGGAACAAGGCUCCCAAAAGCUGUGGGUAGUGCAACGGAUUUGCUAGUGGAUCUUGCGCACGCAAAUGUCCAGAACAACAGAAGACGAGAUAUUAAUUCUUGCGUUAGGCUAAAGGCGCAUAUCCCAAAGGCACAAGUUACAGUCUCCAGUGAAUUAACAACCGAGUCUUUGUUAUAGCAUGGAUAUAUUGCCACUAAUUCUCCUGUAUGCAUGUAAAGUUUCAACAUUGUGUUUGCACCCUACCAAUUGUGUUACAAAUAAAAUGCAGAAACUUG
ensembl:lncRNA